UACGUAGGGGCCUAGCGUUGUCCGGAUUUAUUGGGCGUAAAGAGCUCGUAGGCGGCUUGUCACGUCGACUGUGAAAACCCGGGGCUCAACUCCGGGCCUGCAGUCGAUACGGGCUGGCUUGAGUGCGGUAGGGGAGACUGGAAUUCCUGGUGUAGCGGUGAAAUGCGCAGAUAUCAGGAAGAACACCGACGGCGAAGGCAGCUCGCUGGGACGGUACUGACGCUGAGACGCGAAAGCGUGGGGAGCGAACAGG
rnacentral:rRNA from 1 species